AUGAACGCUGGCGGCGUGCCUAAUCCGUGCAAGUCGAGCGAACAGACGAGGAGCUUGCUCCUCUGACGUUAGCGGCGGACGGGUGAGUAACACGUGGAUAACCUACCUAUAAGACUGGGAUAACUUCGGGAAACCGGAGCUAAUACCGGAUAACAUGUUGAACCGCAUGGUUCAACAGUGAAAGACGGUCUUGCUGUCACUUAUAGAUGGAUCCGCGCCGCAUUAGCUAGUUGGUAAGGUAACGGCUUACCAAGGCAACGAUGCGUAGCCGACCUGAGAGGGUGAUCGGCCACACUGGAACUGAGACACGGUCCAGACUCCUACGGGAGGCAGCAGUAGGGAAUCUUCCGCAAUGGGCGAAAUCCUGACGGAGCAACGCCGCGUGAGUGAAGAAGGUCUUCGGAUCGUAAAACUCUGUUAUUAGGGAAGAACAAAUGUGUAAGUAACUAUGCACGUCUUGACGGUACCUAAUCAGAAAGCCACGGCUAACUACGUG
rnacentral:rRNA from 1 species